rnacentral:rRNA from 1 species
CCUACGGGGGGCUGCAGUAAGGAAUAUUGGUCAAUGGACGAAAGUCUGAACCAGCCAUGCCGCGUGGAGGAUGAAGGUCCUCUGGAUUGUAAACUUCUUUUAUAUGGGACGAAAAAAGGGUUUUCUAACUCACUUGACGGUACCAUAUGAAUAAGCACCGGCUAACUCCGUGCCAGCAGCCGCGGUAAUACGGAGGGUGCAAGAGUUAUCCGGAUUCACUGGGUUGAAGGGGGGCUGGUAAGGCUGUGUAGAAAUCCCCGAGCUUAACUCGGGAGCUGCCAUUGAUACUAUCAGGCUUGAAGACCGUGGAGGUCAGCGGAAUAUGUCAUGUAGCGGUGAAAUGCUUAGAUAUGACAUAGAACACCAAUUGCGAAGGCAGCUGGCUACGCGAAUAUUGACACUGAGGCUCGAAAGCGUGGGGAUCAAACAGGAUUAGAUACCCCAGUAGUC